UACGUAGGGUGCGAGCGUUAAUCGGAAUUACUGGGCGUAAAGGGCGUGUAGGCGGCCAACUAAGUCCGACGUGAAAUCCCCAGGCUUAACCUGGGAACUGCGUCGGAUACUGGAUGGCUUGAAUCCGGGAGAGGGAUGCAGAAUUCCAGGUGUAGCGGUGAAAUGCGUAGAUAUUGGGAGGAACACCAGUGGCGAAGGCGGCUCACUGGACUGGUACUGACGCUGAUGCGCGAAAGCGUGGGGAGCAAACAGG
rnacentral:rRNA from 1 species